GAUGAACGCUGGCGGCGUGCUUAACACAUGCAAGUCGAACGGAAAGGCUCCUGCUUGCAGGGGUACUCGAGUGGCGAACGGGUGAGUAACACGUGGGUGAUCUGCCCUGCACUUCGGGAUAAGCCUGGGAAACUGGGUCUAAUACCGGAUAGGACGAUGGUUUGGAUGCCAUGGUGGAAAGUUUUUCGGUGUGGGAUGAGCUCGCGGCCUAUCAGCUUGUUGGUGGGGUAAUGGCCUACCAAGGCGUCGACGGGUAGCCGGCCUGAGAGGGUGUACGGCCACAUUGGUCCUGAGAUACGGCCCAGACUCCUACGGGGGGCAGCAGUGGGGAAUAUUGCACAAUGGGCGCAAGCCUGAUGCAGCGACGCCGCGUGGGGGAUGACGGCCUUCGGGUUGUAAACUCCUUUCGCUAGGGACGAAGCGCAAGUGACGGUACCUGGAGAAGAAGCACCGGCUAACUACGUG
rnacentral:rRNA from 1 species